GACGUAGGGCGCGAGCGUUGUCCGGAUUUAUUGGGCGUAAAGAGCUCGUAGGCGGCUCGUUGCGUCGGCUGUGAAAACCCGCAGCUCAACUGUGGGCUUGCAGCUGAUACGGGCGGGCUGGAGUUCGGUAGGGGAGACGUGGAAUUCCUGGAUGUAGCGGUGAAAUGACGCAGAUAUCAGGAGGAACACCGGUGGCGAAGGCGGGUCUCUGGGCCGAUACUGACGCUGAGGAGCGAAAGCGUGGGGAGCGAACAGG
rnacentral:rRNA from 1 species